rnacentral:rRNA from 1 species
UUAAGCGACUAAGCGUACACGGUGGAUGCCCUGGCAGUCAGAGGCGAUGAAGGACGUGCUAAUCUGCGAUAAGCGUCGGUAAGGUGAUAUGAACCGUUAUAACCGGCGAUUUCCGAAUGGGGAAACCCAGUGUGUUUCGACACACUAUCAUUAACUGAAUCCAUAGGUUAAUGAGGCGAACCGGGGGAACUGAAACAUCUAAGUACCCCGAGGAAAAGAAAUCAACCGAGAUUCCCCCAGUAGCGGCGAGCGAACGGGGAGCAGCCCAGAGCCUGAAUCAGUGUGUGUGUUAGUGGAAGCGUCUGGAAAGGCGCGCGAUACAGGGUGACAGCCCCGUACACAAAAAUGCACAUGCUGUGAGCUCGAUGAGUAGGGCGGGACACGUGGUAUCCUGUCUGAAUAUGGGGGGACCAUCCUCCAAGGCUAAAUACUCCUGACUGACCGAUAGUGAACCAGUACCGUGAGGGAAAGGCGAAAAGAACCCCGGCGAGGGGAGUGAAAAAGAACCUGAAACCGUGUACGUACAAGCAGUGGGAGCACGCUUAGGCGUGUGACUGCGUACCUUUUGUAUAAUGGGUCAGCGACUUAUAUUCUGUAGCAAGGUUAACCGAAUAGGGGAGCCGAAGGGAAACCGAGUCUUAACUGGGCGUUAAGUUGCAGGGUAUAGACCCGAAACCCGGUGAUCUAGCCAUGGGCAGGUUGAAGGUUGGGUAACACUAACUGGAGGACCGAACCGACUAAUGUUGAAAAAUUAGCGGAUGACUUGUGGCUGGGGGUGAAAGGCCAAUCAAACCGGGAGAUAGCUGGUUCUCCCCGAAAGCUAUUUAGGUAGCGCCUCGUGAAUUCAUCUCCGGGGGUAGAGCACUGUUUCGGCAAGGGGGUCAUCCCGACUUACCAACCCGAUGCAAACUGCGAAUACCGGAGAAUGUUAUCACGGGAGACACACGGCGGGUGCUAACGUCCGUCGUGAAGAGGGAAACAACCCAGACCGCCAGCUAAGGUCCCAAAGUCAUGGUUAAGUGGGAAACGAUGUGGGAAGGCCCAGACAGCCAGGAUGUUGGCUUAGAAGCAGCCAUCAUUUAAAGAAAGCGUAAUAGCUCACUGGUCGAGUCGGCCUGCGCGGAAGAUGUAACGGGGCUAAACCAUGCACCGAAGCUGCGGCAGCGACGCUUAUGCGUUGUUGGGUAGGGGAGCGUUCUGUAAGCCUGCGAAGGUGUGCUGUGAGGCAUGCUGGAGGUAUCAGAAGUGCGAAUGCUGACAUAAGUAACGAUAAAGCGGGUGAAAAGCCCGCUCGCCGGAAGACCAAGGGUUCCUGUCCAACGUUAAUCGGGGCAGGGUGAGUCGACCCCUAAGGCGAGGCCGAAAGGCGUAGUCGAUGGGAAACAGGUUAAUAUUCCUGUACUUGGUGUUACUGCGAAGGGGGGACGGAGAAGGCUAUGUUGGCCGGGCGACGGUUGUCCCGGUUUAAGCGUGUAGGCUGGUUUUCCAGGCAAAUCCGGAAAAUCAAGGCUGAGGCGUGAUGACGAGGCACUACGGUGCUGAAGCAACAAAUGCCCUGCUUCCAGGAAAAGCCUCUAAGCAUCAGGUAACAUCAAAUCGUACCCCAAACCGACACAGGUGGUCAGGUAGAGAAUACCAAGGCGCUUGAGAGAACUCGGGUGAAGGAACUAGGCAAAAUGGUGCCGUAACUUCGGGAGAAGGCACGCUGAUAUGUAGGUGAAGUCCCUCGCGGAUGGAGCUGAAAUCAGUCGAAGAUACCAGCUGGCUGCAACUGUUUAUUAAAAACACAGCACUGUGCAAACACGAAAGUGGACGUAUACGGUGUGACGCCUGCCCGGUGCCGGAAGGUUAAUUGAUGGGGUUAGCCGCAAGGCGAAGCUCUUGAUCGAAGCCCCGGUAAACGGCGGCCGUAACUAUAACGGUCCUAAGGUAGCGAAAUUCCUUGUCGGGUAAGUUCCGACCUGCACGAAUGGCGUAAUGAUGGCCAGGCUGUCUCCACCCGAGACUCAGUGAAAUUGAACUCGCUGUGAAGAUGCAGUGUACCCGCGGCAAGACGGAAAGACCCCGUGAACCUUUACUAUAGCUUGACACUGAACAUUGAGCCUUGAUGUGUAGGAUAGGUGGGAGGCUUUGAAGUGUGGACGCCAGUCUGCAUGGAGCCGACCUUGAAAUACCACCCUUUAAUGUUUGAUGUUCUAACGUUGACCCGUAAUCCGGGUUGCGGACAGUGUCUGGUGGGUAGUUUGACUGGGGCGGUCUCCUCCUAAAGAGUAACGGAGGAGCACGAAGGUUGGCUAAUCCUGGUCGGACAUCAGGAGGUUAGUGCAAUGGCAUAAGCCAGCUUGACUGCGAGCGUGACGGCGCGAGCAGGUGCGAAAGCAGGUCAUAGUGAUCCGGUGGUUCUGAAUGGAAGGGCCAUCGCUCAACGGAUAAAAGGUACUCCGGGGAUAACAGGCUGAUACCGCCCAAGAGUUCAUAUCGACGGCGGUGUUUGGCACCUCGAUGUCGGCUCAUCACAUCCUGGGGCUGAAGUAGGUCCCAAGGGUAUGGCUGUUCGCCAUUUAAAGUGGUACGCGAGCUGGGUUUAGAACGUCGUGAGACAGUUCGGUCCCUAUCUGCCGUGGGCGCUGGAGAACUGAGGGGGGCUGCUCCUAGUACGAGAGGACCGGAGUGGACGCAUCACUGGUGUUCGGGUUGUCAUGCCAAUGGCACUGCCCGGUAGCUAAAUGCGGAAGAGAUAAGUGCUGAAAGCAUCUAAGCACGAAACUUGCCCCGAGAUGAGUUCUCCCUGACUCCUUGAGAGUCCUGAAGGAACGUUGAAGACGACGACGUUGAUAGGCCGGGUGUGUAAGCGCAGCGAUGCGUUGAGCUAACCGGUACUAAUGAACCGUGAGGCUUAACCU